rnacentral:rRNA from 1 species
AGAGAGAGACAUGCGCGCAUAUCAAUAAGCGGAGGAAAAGAAACUAACAAGGAUUCCCUAGUAACGGCGAGUGAAGCGGGAAGAGCUCAAAUUUGAAAUCUUCAAGGUUCUACCUUGACGAAUUGUAGUUUAUAGAAGUGUUUUCUGUUAGUGGAGUGGCAAAAGUUCUUUGGAAUAGGACAUCAUAGAGGGUGAGAAUCCCGUAUUUGGUCAUUCCUCCUAGCGUUGUGAUACACUUUCAACGAGUCGGAUUGUUUGGGAAUGCAGUCCAAAAUGGGUGGUAAAUUUCAUCUAAAGCUAAAUAUUGGCGAGAGACCGAUAGCGAACAAGUACCGUGAGGGAAAGAUGAAAAGAACUUUGAAAAGAGAGUUAAACAGUACGUGAAAUUGUCAAAAGGGAAGCGUUUGACACCAGUGUUGUUUUUCCGAAAAUCAAUUACGAAUGUUUUAUUUUUGAGGAGUUAUGACUUCAUCGGCUUGCUCCUUUCUUUACUGAAACUUUCUUAAUGCACUUUUCGGUUAACAAGUCAACAUCAAUUUCUUUUGUUGUAAAAGGGUAUGAGGAAGGUGGCUUUCUUUUCGGAGAAAGUGUUUAUAGCCUUGUGCCUCUGCAAUCGGAGAGAUUGAGGUCUGCAGCGUAGAUCCUUCGGGGUUAGAUACGUUUGUGCUAAGUUAUAGCUUUUCAUAGACAACUUGUUGACUAUGUUUAGUCUUGUAGCUUACUCGCUGACGCUAUUUUACCUACGCUUAGGAUGUUGAUAGUCACAGCGUGUAC